AAGGUAUGUUUAUAACACACCAAAUAGGAAUCUGGGUUAUUGUGACAAGGGGCACAAUACUUGUGACCUUCCUGUGAACAAACACCCAACACGU
rnacentral:snoRNA from 1 species